AUGAGGUUCCCUUCUCAACUCCUGGGGCUACUGAUGCUCUGGGUCCCAGGAUCCAGCAGGGAUAUUGUGCUGACACAGACCCCACUGUCCCUGUCUGUUGCCCCUGGAGAGUCGGCCUCCAUCUCCUGCAGGGCCAGUCAGAGUCUCCUGCACAGAGAUGGAAACACCUAUUUGUAUUGGUACCUAGAGAAACCAGGCUACUCCCCACAGCUCCUCAUCUAUGAGGUUUCCAUCCAUAAAUCUGGGGUCCCAGACAAGUUCAGUGGCAGUGGCUCAGGGACAGAUUUCAUCCUGAGAAUCAGCAGGGUGGAGGAUGAUGAUGUGGGAGUUUAUUACUGCGAGCAAGGUACACAUGUUCCUCCACAGUGGUUCAGGCCCGAACACAAACCUCUCUGUUUGGUGGUCCCCACUGGGCACUUCAUCCUGAGAUCUGGAGAUAGCCGGAAAAUCAGCUGGAGUGCGAGUGCGACCUGUUUCCUCCUGGUCAUUAGCUGA